GGAUGAUCUUCAUGAUUGGUUUGAACGAGGUUAGUUGGUAGCAUCUCCUGUAUAUUAAUCUUCUGUGGGAUGUUGCAUGUUGGGGGUGCAAAGGAUCCCUAGUAUCAUUCAGUUGCUGUGGACGUGGGAGAUCUCUACAAACCAUUGGCUACAACCUUCUGCCACUAAGAAAGCC
rnacentral:lncRNA from 1 species